rnacentral:rRNA from 1 species
GAGUUUGAUCAUGGCUCAGAACGUACGCUGGCGGCACGCCUAACACAUGCAAGUCGAACGAAGUAGCAAUACUUAGUGGCAGACGGGUGAGUAACAUGUAGGUAUCUGCCCUUUGGCCUGGAAUAACACGAGGAAACUUGUGCUAAUACCGGAUAAGUCUUUACGGAGAAAGCUUUAUGCACCAUUGGAUGAGCCUGCACUUGAUUAGUUUGUUGGUGGGGUAAUGGCCUACCAAGACUGUGAUCAAUAGCUGAUUUGAGAGGAUGAUCAGCCACAUUGGGACUGAGACACGGCCCAAACUCCUACGGGAGGCAGCAGUGGGGAAUCUUGCACAAUGGAGGAAACUCUGAUGCAGCGAUGCCGCGUGAGUGAAGAAGGCCCUUGGGUUGUAAAGCUCUUUCGUCGGGGAAGAAAAUGACUGUACCCGAAUAAGAAGGUCCGGCUAACUUCGUGCCAGCAGCCGCGGUAAUACGAAGGGACCUAGCGUAGUUCGGAAUUACUGGGCUUAAAGAGUUCGUAGGUGGUUGAAAAAGUUAGUGGUGAAAUCCCAGAGCUUAACUCUGGAACUGCCAUUAAAACUUUUCAGCUAGAGUAUGAUAGAGGAAAGCAGAAUUUCUAGUGUAGAGGUGAAAUUCGUAGAUAUUAGAAGAAUACCAAUUGCGAAGGCAGCUUUCUGGAUCAUUACUGACACUGAGGAACGAAAGCAUGGGUAGCGAAGAGGAUUAGAUACCCUCGUAGUCCAUGCCGUAAACGAUGUGUGUUAGACGUUGGAAAUUUAUUUUCAGUGUCGCAGGAAACCGAUAAACACACCGCCUGGGGAGUACGACCGCAAGGUUAAAACUCAAAUGAAUUG